UGUGAACUGCACUCCAGCCUGGGUGACAAAGUGAGACCCCCAUCUCCAAAAAUAAAUAAAAUAAAAUAAAAUAAAAUAAAAAGGAGAAUGGGUUGGAAGGCAAAUAUGAAGAAAUGCCAGCUUGUUGUGUAUGCAUGGUGUAUUUUUUUCUAGAAGAACCACAAGAAACUGGUACUGCUGAUCAUCUCCACGAUGUGGAUUGGGAUGGGAAACCAGGAUGGGAGGAUGGCUUUUCAUAUGCUCUGAAGUGGUUUGGAUUUUAUACACUAUGAAGGUAACAUCUUUAAAACAAAUUUUAAAGUUAUUAAAAAUAUUUGUUUUUAUAAAAUUAACCACAUUGAUAACAUCCUAUAGCAUGUAAACUGAAAUAUAUUGCAGCUGACAAAUGAAGGCCUGAGAAAUGUGCCGUCUACCGUUGAAUCGUAGAGUUCUUCAACUCUUCUCUCAGGAUGUAGCAGGUUCUACAUGUCACGUAGGAACCAAAAGGACAAGUGGUAUUCAUCCCUAUAUUAAAGGAAGAAAGUAUUGGAGAAUGGUGCACUCUCUAAAGGGCUGCCUGGUGAAUGUUCUUGAGAAAGGGCAUUAUCCAGCUAGGAGGAAAUGGCAGGAGUCAUGAAAUAGAAGAAAGGCAGAAAAAAAAUGGAGAUUGGAG
rnacentral:lncRNA from 1 species